UCUCCUCGCGCUGCUCGGGAUGUGGCUGCAGUACAGGACUGGUGUUGUACCUACCUCUUUGGGAAGGCUGUGGAAUUUCAGCAUCAAAACCAAGGUCUUUCUCCUGGUUUCAUCUCUGUUCCAUAGGGUGGGAUACCCACCACCAUCUGGUGCCCCAGUACCUCGGGAACUCUGUUGAUGUGGGGCUUACUCCUUAUAUCUGCAGUUAACUUCAGAGAGGACCCUGGCAGUUUCUGACCAACGCUUUCAGGAGCUCUGUGUUUGCCUGUGUGUCAAAGAAGGAAGUCUGCACUCAAGAAGAGAGGCUCUGUAGGCUUCAGCCCACAGAUUUCAGCAAGAAAUUAGAAGGAAUACCUGUGUGACCGUGGGUAACGCUGAAAUUCAUGAAUGUUGACGUCACAUCACAUUUAUGGUGUGUGCACUUAGUGUUUUCAUUUUCUGCAGUACGGAAUUAUUUUAAAAAUCUGUCUGCUUCCCCAGCAGCUGAGGAAUGCAGGUGUACCUGCUGUGCUGCUGCCAGCAGCCUUCCUCUGCUCCUGCAGGAGGUAAUAAAUGGAGACGCUCAGGUUCUUCUGCCAGUGCCAAUCUGUUUCCUCAGGCCUGUUGAUUUGUGUGACAUGGUCUGUAGCAGUAGAUUCUUUUUUAAGAAAGAAUUUCCUUCAAUGGCAGCUCCCUUCAGGCAGGUUAGGCCCAGCUUGCCACAGGCUUCCAAUGGGGAGCUGCUGUGUGGUUUAAGCUGGGAGUUAAACAAGAAGAGUUGCUUCUUUUAAAACUAUAAUCAAGACUAAACAACAGUCUUCCAGUACACCUCCAGCAACACAGGGCACUAUAUCAGUCUCAGUAAGAAAUGGAAGUAAAUAUUCAUUCCUAUGAUGAUUACUUCUUAGUUAUAACCAUCUGUUGCAGUUUCUGUCCUUCACAUGUUUCUAGAGCCUUCAUUUUCAUUCUUUUGUGCCAGAUAUCACUGUUUUUCCUAGGUAUUUUGUAAAGAUGUCGGCUGUUAGGUGGUCUUUUGUCACUCACAGAAGACACAAUGUGAAGGAAGACUCCUUUCCUGGGAGCAUGAGGGUUUCAGCUGCUGUUGCCACUGACCCUCAUCAUGCAACUGACUCCUGAGAGUCCACAAUGUGGGAUCUAAAAACUGGAAGUAGCAUUCCUGCCAUGCACAGAGCCCUGAACAUCUCAUACAGGUUGGGAAAGUUCUUACAUCCCUUUUUUGCCUUUUCCAUAUGCAUCUGGGCAACUGCUGUAUCAUAUCACCAAAAUCUUUUUAUUCAAUACUUCUUUCCCUUUCUAUAAUUGUUCCUUUUCCUUCUUUCCUCACAAAAAUUUCCUCAGUGUGUACAUAUUCAUUGGGAACGCUGACAACAUGUUCUGCCUUUUCCACUACUGUAUAUUCAGACCUGAUUUCUCCUGCAGUAGUAAAGUUUAUUUCCUAACUAUACUGCAAACUCUACAAAGAACCGAACUGCUAGUAAAGCAUCAAGCCCAAGGCAAGGAAGUGAGAAACAGCUAAGAAAUUGUUAAGAGCAAAUAAUGUAAGACCCACUGGUUUUUCUUCUAUGGGAAAAUAGUUGUAGCAGGUAUUGUCUGCCCUGGUUUUGUGCCUUGCACAUUUUUUUGUGGGAGCUUGUGGCAUGCUGAAAAGCUUCAAGAACAUGAAUUAAAGUUGUUGAGAAGUAUCUUGAAUAUAGUUGGUCUUUCGUGGGACAGGAAGAUGUAUUACAUACCCUACCUGCAUCCCUUCCAUCUGUAUGUUCUGUGCAUUUACGAUCCUCUAACAGGCUUUAUGGUUUUUCUUAAUAGAAGGUUCCAGAAAACAAGUUCUCAAGCAGACUAUCUGAUGCAAUUGUCUUCUGCUAUCAGUACGGUGAAGGACAAAACUCAAAACAAAGUUCCAAACCCUUGAAAGGAGGUGGCGAGUUUCUUAACAACCUGGUCUGUGUUUGAGAUCAAAGGUCACCGUGGUCUAGGACCUGAGCAGAAAGUAAGGUUAAAAAGAUGCAGUUAAUGACUUACCACCUGAAAAAUGAUUUGUGCUCCAGUUAGAGUGAGACACCAUCCAUGUUACUUUUCUAUCUGCAAGUGGGCAUUAUGAGAAAUGCCGACUCCAGAGAUUGCUUUGUGUGCAUUUGACAAGUGAUGAAAACUGUUUUCAUAGAUCAAGAAUCACUUAAAUGUUGUUUUUACAAUUAUUUUCUGCUUGUCUUGCUCUAGUCUUCCUUCUUAUUCCUCUGACUCAGUCCUUGGUAGUCUCCAUGCUGGUGACAGCCAUUCUUGUUUUCUGAUGUUACCUGUGAUUGCACAACUUAACGUGCUAGUGCCAUGAAGGAUUAAAAAAAAGCCACAACUCCCCAUAGACUCAAUCAUUAGCAAUUCCCUUAUCUUCUUCUGCAUUCCCUUUCUUCUGAUGUUCCCAUCUUCCAAAUCUGCUGAGGCAUCCAAUGUCGUAACUGCAAUCAUCAGUUUCAUGUGUCAGAGUUUGCAGAUUUUUUUUUUCAAGUGACCAUUCACAGGCUCACAAGUUCUUCUCUGUACUAUAUUCUUAUACUUUCCAUGUUUGUUAGCUUACACAGAGAGAAUACAAUACACUGGAGAUACAUGGAUUAAUGCUGAACUGGCUGAGGGAAAGUCACCUGAAUAUCCAUCAUUAUUCUGCAUUUAAAAUCUUAGGUGAAAGAAAGCUGAAAGAGUUCCUUUCUGUCCUGGUGACAACAGCCCCUUCAUGUGCUUUCCUGAGACAAAAUGUAAAGAUUCUUUCUAGGACCAAAAUUACUGUGGUUUCUUGUGGUGCAAAGACAGCCACUGUGUUAAUCCCACCCAUCAUGGUUUUGCUCUUCAGAUAUUUCUCUGAAGGAGAAAGUCGUCACUUUAUAAACCCAACUCACUCAUCUUCUUUUACUCUUUGUAUGCAUAUACAUACAUAGAUGUCUCUAUAUUCUAUAUGCACAAGCAUAUGUGCAUAUUUGCCCUCUCCAAGGGCUGUUGUCAACAGCAGUAGCAGAAGUUCCCCCACUCUUUCAGCUUGAACUUCUCAUGGGUCAGUAAGUCUUGGUCGUAUUUGUUCCUUGUGCUGAUGGAAAAGCCACAAGCUUUCCUGGCUAACAAGCCUGUUUGUAUCACACUGAUAUUUGAAUGAAGGCUAAAUAAAAAUCUAAAAAAAUCCUAGUUUUCACUGGUCAGGAUUAAUGUGUUCUGGUUAAAAUGAUGUGGGAGUUGUUGGUGAAAUACAUGCUGUUUUUAUCAGAAGAAAAACAAGUCUUUGCAGCAAGGGACAGAUGCAAGGAGAAGGAAGCAGGAGGAAAACAUGCUUUUUUUUUUAUUAUUCUCUAUAAUCUGGGAUCUUUUAAAGAAGGGCAAUAUUUUUCUUGUGAUUGUCAAACACUGGCAGAUAGUGACUUCAAUACUUCAAUUAGCUCUGCUGAAUGUUCCUUCCAUAAUUAGGAAAAAUAUCUUCACUGAGAGAGUUGUGAAACAUUGGAACAGGCUGCCCAAGGAAGCUGUUGAGUCACCAUCCUUGGAGGUAUAUAAAAGAUAAGUAGAUGUGGUGCUCAGGGACAUGGCCUAGUGGGAGAUGUGGCAGCACGAGUUUAACAGUACGAUGACCUUGGAGGUCUUUUCACACCUACGUGAUUCUGCAAUUUAUGUCUUGAGUUGUGUAGGGAUUUUUAGUCUCCACUUAAUGUCCAGAGAGAAAUGCCAGACUGAGAUCAGUCACCAUGAUCCUGUGCUGUCUGUAGUUCUGAGAGGCAGCAGCUUUGUCCUGCAAGCCACCACCUUUCAUUGGCGCCUGUGCUGCAGAGCUGUGCAGCUUCUUAUCUUGCCAGUGCCCUUUGUACUGCUGAUGGAUAUGUUCUGCCUGCAGACAAACUUGUGUCUGGGGUGAAAUUCAGUCACAGCAGUUGUAUAUUGAGUGAGUUCUGCAUAAACUCUAAAAAUAGUUAACAAGGAGAUAUAAUAAAAGGCUAUGUUAUACAGAAAUCACAUCUGCAAGAAAUGUGAGCUGCCAGAGGCAGACAAAUCUUUUCUUGAGUGAAACGUAACUACAGCCUUUUCCCAAAAAGGCUUUUUGAAAACUUCUUAUUAAGUUGCUGUGGUUGGAGCAGACCUCAGUGCUUUCUGCUCAAAGAUCUGGAGCAUGCCCUGGGGUGCCAAGCAGCUCUCCCAAGACCAAGGAGGAGCCACGUGUAGCUGCUCCAUCGAUGGAGGACCACUGCCUUUAGGGAGUGAGGAGAAAAAGGUGUGCUAUGGGGGCACACGAUGGGAGAAGAGUGCCUGAUGCUUACUUGAUUUUUAGCUCCAGCUUGAGUAUUGGAGGCAAUAUAUGCAAGUUUUGGGGCUGUGCUGGGAAUAACUUGUUUUUUUGCCACAACUGAAAAUAUUAUUCAGCGGUGCCUGUGUACAGAUCUGUAUGCGUUAAACCACAAACCUGUCUGUUUUAGAUAGGAACGACCUGUGUGCUGACCUGUAAAACCACUCAUCUUUAACACUUACAUCCUGCCUUCUCAUCCAGCUCUCAGAGGGAUAUUUGGGUGUUCUGCCUCUCUGAGCAGAUCCAGAGGUGCUGUUUGCUCCUCUUUUUGUUGAAGGUAUUGUCAUUAUCUGCAAAUGUAAUUUCUUAACUCUGAAUAUGUUUUUUUCUUCUUUUGAUGCCCAAGAGAUAUAUUCAGGUUUGACUCAGUUUGGUAGCAUGGUAGGUCAGAUGUAAGCCUAUACAGCUGAUAGCCUUUCUUCAUCUAAAGUAUAGUUAAAUUGUAGGUUUUAAAGUUCUUGGCUACAGAGGGCUAAUAAGAAGAGUUUUAGGUUACUGGACUGAAAAGCAUACUCACUUGCUCCCUGAGGCCUGCUACCAGCAUCUAGUUUCUGAACACAUCAAGAUGCUGGAGUUUAGUUUUAUAGCAACCUUGGUGUCUUAAAAGAUGUUCUGAGGGAACCUUGACAAAUCACUGGUCAAAAUGCACAUUACAGGAAUAAAGCUGGUGAAAUCAUCUGGCCUUAUGGGAGGGGGGAAAAAAAUAAUUUUAACUCCUAGAAAUUGUUUUCUUGCAGUGGGGCUCUCUUACACAUUGCUGUGCACUGCUCCCUGUGCAAAGGUUUCAUCAAGGAUUACCCAGAGUAACUGAUGCAACCUGGUCACUGCCAUGUCUGCACAGAGAACUCUUCCAAAAUUUGCAACAAUGAGACCCUGCACCUUGUUAGCUGUUAUGUAUUCUUAAUACAUGGAAACGAUCAGGGAAUGUUGUUUUAAUAUAAUCAAUAUAUGCGUGUUCUUAAUGGAUGGAAUUCCAGUGUCUUCCUGCAAGUAUUUACAUUGUAUGUUUAUUUGGUCAAAUGGUGUUGUCUCAUUCCACGGUUAUGAGUGUAGAGAUGUAUUUUAGGUGAACGGAGAACAGAUUUUUGUACUCUUCAAAAAUCUCUUCUGUUAAUUUUGGCAUCUUGGUCAAAGACGUUUAAGUUAAUGGUGCAGAUAACCCAACCCAUGGCUGAAUUGUCUUUACUGGGUAAGUAGAAGGAAGAAGUGAGAGGAGCAUGCAUUUCCAGUGACAUGCCAUUUUUACUUGAAAUACGCAGCACUAGGUGGUUUGUGCAUAUAGACGUGACAUUUUUUUUCACAGUUAAUGUGUGUGUGCUGAGUGGCACUUUGAUCUUUUUGGUUCCUGGGUUGUGUCAUUGCUUGAACUCCAUACACAGAUGCUUUGAAUUUUCUUUGUCGUGUAAUUUGUGCAUUUGCUCAAACUUAUGGAAAACAGGGUUUCAGCAAAUACACAGAAUUUUCUGCUUGCUGAGGAUGGAGGUCAUAUUAUGCGCUCAUUCUGAAAUCUGUUUGCAAAGAAAAAUGUCAGCAUAACAUGGAAAAUUAUGGAGAAGCCGAUAGUAAACCUUCUUCCAUUAAUCAUCUCCUGUCGGGCCAUUCUAUUACAGUUGCUAAUGCAACUCACCAUGCAGCUGGAGUGUGUGAUCUGAUUACUGCCUUCAGGAUUGUUGUGACUUCCCGUGUGCUUUUAGCUCUGUGGUUCAGCCACCAAACAAACCAUCCCUGCCAGAAGGUUGGUGCUUCUUUCAGAGGCUCUCCAAAAACACAUCUCCCUAGUUACCAGAGGAGAUGAGGUGAGAUCAUGGCAGCCUCACUGCACCUGGUGCUCUUUGCUCUCUGUCUUCCUGGGACUGCCAUGGGUAUUUCAUGUAAGUACACUGCCUAAUAUGCCAGAGAUGGUGCAAUUACUCAAUUAUAUAUAUAUAUGUGUGUGUGUGUGUGUGUGUGUGUAUAUAUAUAUAAAAUUCAGAGUGCUGAUUUUCUGCUUUGCAGGCUUCUUACCAACUGAGGGGUGAAAAAUAGGAUUCCCAAGCAAAACUCAUCUGUAUAACUGUGCAGAGAAUUUAACUUUGGUGAUUCAGUUCUUAAGUGCUCUGCAGCCCAGUGAAAUGAACAGCUUGGGCAAAUGGAGGUUGAAGUGCCCAACGAGAGCUACAAAAACUGUUGUGCAGAAAUAGAGACUUCCUAAGGUGGUCAGCAGCAAAUGCAAGGAAAGGAGCAGGAGGCACGUGCUUGAUUUUUGAAUGAUGAGACAUCUCCUGUAACUCAAGCUGCUUAUCCAAGCAGUUGUGUACUUGUCAUGUCCUGCCUGUAUCUGUAAUAUUCACUUGGUCAGCAAAAUCCUCCUCCUGAAAGAUUUAGGUGAGGGAUUUGAACUGCCAGCAGAUCCAGAAGUGGCACAAACACCACAACCAGCUCCUCUGAGAUAAUUCGACUGCCUUUAUCCCUGACUUAUCCCCGUCUCUUCCUUAUUAUAGCAGUAGCAGUUCAUACCAUCCCACCAUCCUUUGCCUGCAGCUUUGGUCUGUGCUAGCUCUGGGUCGUAGAAAUUCCUACAGGGUUGUAGUUGGCAGAUAUAUCUGCUGAAAGAGAAAUGCCUUAUUUGCAAAUCCCUGUAGGACUGAAAUAUUGAGUUAUUCAGCACUGUCAGUAUAUUUGGGCAGGCCCAGAGGCAGAAGCAUAGACAACUAGAGAGCUUUAUUGAUGGGAUCUCAGGCAUCAUGGGGGUUUAGCCACCUCCAAAGUUAGGCAGUAGCUGAAAAGGGGGCUCUGAGGAUUUGCAUUCUGAAUGAAGAAUCUCUCUGUGGAUUUAGCCUGUGUAGCUGUGCAGGAUGGGAGACAAUGGUGAGCCAGCAUUAUACGAUAUUAAUUAUCUGAGUAAAGUGAAGCAUAAAAUUCCCCACAGUACUCCUCUUCUUCAGUCUGUUUAGAGUUCUUGUUCAAGAGUGGAAGACUGUUUAAUUUUGAAAUGCAUGAGAAAAAGGCCUCAAAGAUGUACUGUGGGUUGCAUUCCUCCCCUGGAACUCAGAGACGUGACUGAUGACAAUGAAUGGGACUUCCCAUUGUGACCUUCUGUCUCUCUGGCUUUGGAUACAAGGCAAGUACUACACACUGGCAUACAUAAAUCUGUUGCAAAUUGAUUCCACUACACAGAAACUUAGCUGCUUUCUUUAGGUCCAGUCUCCUUCAAUGCAACUGUGUUAUUGAACUGGGAGCAUUCCUGGCACUGAAAGACUUUAAGGGUUAAUAGAAAGCUGAGUGUGAAAGUCUGAACUCCUGCAGAUGAUGACUGUGGAAUAUAGUGCAACUAAUAAGCUUUGGAGGGAUGGUAAAACAAACAAACCAGAACUCUAAUGUGGAAGACUCAUCUUUAUGAUACAGUCUUUGCAUUCUCUGGCUAUUUGGUGUCCAGCUGAUCUGUUUUACGAAUCAGAUUUUUGAGAGGAACUACUUCUGUUAAUGUAGUCCUAUCUAAGUGCUAGUACUGGGAACCUAAAAACAGGAGGGCCCACCUUCAUGCUUAAAAUAAGAUUUUUCCCCUGCACUUUUCCCAGCAGGGGUAAGGAUGCCAGCAGUGAUGGAAACUGAGCCAGCAGGUCUCACUGCCCACACUGACAGCAGCACCAUAAUAGGCUGAUACUAACAGGGACCAGCGACCCUCUUUCGUACAGAUGAACAGUCUCCAUUUUAAUCCUUAAAGUGCGUGGAUGAACCUCUGUUGUUACCAAGAACAGAAAACUUGAAAUCAUCCAGAACUCCUUAUGUUCACCACAACUGAAACAACUGCAGACAGCAAUGCUGAACUGUCAAGACAUAUUAUAGAAAAAAGCAAAGAUGAUACUUCUCCUUGGUAAACAGAGGUACAACAUUUCUCACGUGUCUUUCUGACUUCAGUUUUAAAAAGCAAAACAAACCAGCCCCAUGUAUGUUCUUCUUCGCUCAUUUUCAUCCCUUAAUCAGGACUGAUGCUCCAGGAUUUAGUGAUUUUUCAUGUUUUCUGUAAUCUGGUGUUUGAAUUGUUACUGUCAAUAAUUUGGAUUCCUGGAGAAAGCAGAAGAUCCAAACACAGAGGCAGAGUUGCUGUGCUUUAGGCAUCUAUAGAGUCUGAAGUGUGUGCAAGACAGUUAAAAGUACAAUCUAUCUGCCCUUGGGAUUCAUGGGGAUUCUUCCAUUUAAUAAAGCAGAUGUACUGAGUCAGACCGAAUGGGGGUGAAAACCUCUUAAAAAAGAGGUUGACUUCAUCAUCCUUUCUUCCAAUUGGGCUAUUUUAAAUACUUCAGCAAAGAAUCAGAUCAUUUCUUAUUCUUUCUUAAUUAUUUUGUCCUUCUUUUGUGUGUGUUUCCUUACUAAAUUACUGUUCACCUGUUGGCAACUGCCAAGUUUCUAGGUGAAAUCUGACAGCUGCACAUCUUGGGUUCUUAAUUGGUUACAACUCACAGAGAGCCAAAAAAAAAAAAAAAAAUCAAGUUAAUGGUCUUCCUGAGGAAGGGACUAAUUUGCUCCUACAAGUGGAUACAUAAACACUAAUUAUAUUCUGAAAGGCUUCGGCUAUUAAAACCACAUUAGGAGCAAUAUGUAGGGCUUUCUUCCUCACCUUCCCACACCGUGUGGGCUGAGAAUUGCCCUGACCUUCAUAUCCUAAUUCCUGUUUUCUUUUCAGGUUGUGUCUGGCCUGCUGCUGGCCCGUUCACUGAGGAUACGCUCUCUAUUUAGAAGAGAGGUUAAGCUAGCAGGAGACCAUUUGUGUUUCAUGGUGAUCUAUCCAGGGCUGUUUUCUGGAGGUGUGAGCUGAGGCAUCCCUGCUGCAGCCCUGACCGCAGGUGUCAGCUGAGGGCAAAGACACUUUCCAGAGUGCAGGUUUUUAUGUCUUUGGACAAAUCAAAAUUAGUAGCUACCAGCCGUGACAGUUGUCAACACUUGUGCCUUCCUUGACAGUGAAAAUCAAACAAACCAAUCCCUGUGAGUUCUUCUCUGAUAUGUUUGUAUUAAGCAAGUUUGAAACAAAAACAACAAUAAAACAGUGGUUAUUUGCCAUUGGGGUUAAUGAGCCCUACACUGUGGUAAGGCAGUGCAAUCAGGACAGGUAGCAGUGUUUGUGUCCUCACCCAGCUAUCGUGCACUGCUCCAGCCAAGUGCCACAGCGAUCUCUUAGCUGAUGCCUCUUCUGGCCAUGGGGACCAUCUCUGCUGUGGUUGAAGAUGAGAACACAGCUCAGAGUUCUGCAAAGUGUCAAAGCCAUGCUGAGUCCAGAAUAAGGAGACCAGAGGCAGAUAUGCAGCAUGUUUGCAGGACAUGGGUGCAGGAUAAGGCGGCUUCUGUAAGCUCCUGCAGGAAACCUGAGCCUUGGGAAAAGAUUAUCCAGCCUUCAAAGUCUUAUUGCUCUCUCCGAGAUCCUAUGGUAUGAUACAUUCUCAUAGGAUGAGUAGGACAGUAGUACGUGUGCUUUUUCAGCUUUUUAGCUCUUCUCACAGAGACAAGAAACACCUAGAGAGAUAACUCAUUAUAAAGUCUGAUACAGGUUAUGUUUAAUUAAUCUCCAAAUACAUCCAAAUGAAAGAUAACUGGGUCUGUCCCUCUAAGCAAUACAGGAUGUUAGAAAAUGGAUCUAUAUUUCUCAUGGUUUUUUAUUUACCCAUUUUGGCAGGGUGACUGAGAGGGCCUUGAGUGACAAAGAUAGAUAGAGAGUGUUUUCUUUUCCCCAGCCACUGAGGUGUUGCAGAAGUAUUCCCAUCCAUCAUGGAAGCAAAGUGAGAAGAGUUCUUCUAAAAAUUUCUUUACCCACAAGUCUGACAUGAUAUGAAAUGUUAGGGUUCCAUCGUAUGUUACAUCUUUCUGUGACAUUACGGACAUACCAAGGAUUGAAGAUUUCUUUCCUAUUGAGAUAUAAAGCAGGGAAUUAGCCUCAGGAAUAGUUAUUUAUAGCUUUUCUGGGAGUGAUUGCAUUCCCUCAUCCCCAAAGCAUCUAACAGAGAGACUAGCAGUGUAUUUCCUUUUGAACUCCCCCCUUUAGAUGGGAAGACCCCUAUGUUGCUUUGCAGUAGUUGGGAUGCACAGCUUCAGUUUCUCUAUCAGGCAUAAGCUCAUAACACCAUUCACAAAUGUGCUUGUUGCUUUUUGGGAGGCACAGCUGCCGACAUUCCCCAUUAGGUCAGGAAAUGUGUGGGAUUUGCAAGUCUCUGCAAGGUAAGUGCUGUUCUGGCCAGUGUCCCAGGGCUGUGGCAUCACUGGAGGAGCUGCAGCACAGCAAGGCGUUGACAUGGCACUGACAAUCCUGUCACUGAAGUCCCCCUUUCUUGUGCCCCCAUCUUAGUUGCUCCUGGCCUCUUCCCCUCACCUAGCAGGGAAAAGUCCUGCUGGCGCUAGGAAGCUUGGAGUUAGGAACCAGAGUGAAAAUGAUAUUCUAGAAGGGUUUUGGAAUACGGAUAGCAGAAAAUACACAGUCAUUGCUCCUGGGAGAUCAAAUGCAGGUGCAUCUGAAGACACACAUCUUCUUCCUCCAGGAUACAGCCUUCUGUUCUGGCUGCCUAUCAGAAAGAGUCCACGCAAACGCAGCAUGGCCUCAGCACAGGUAAUAACACAGUUUGGAGAAUGACAAGAUUUCCAUUUCACAACAGAUGGAGAAGGUAAAGCUGGCAUAUUUUAUGGAGAAGACAAGUUUCAGUGCAUCAUAUGGUUUACACAAUGCUGAGUAGUAAGGUAUAUCUGGGGCCUGUGCAAGCUUUCUGCAUGGAGGAACAUGGCUGUGCUGAAAGAAU